rnacentral:lncRNA from 1 species
CUAGUGUCCUCGCGAAGGGUGCGGAGCACCCUAACUCGCACUCGCACUCGCACACGCUCGCGCGCGCGCGCGCGUGGCGUGGGCGAUGAGGCGCAAUGUGGCGCUUUGAUGGCGCACUUUGCACUUCGCACGCUCGCAUCGCCGCGAGCCGCUUGAGAGCCGCCUUUGUAUUUUUGACCGCGCGCGCGUGGUGAAGCACAAGGGUUGCAAGGACCAAGUGGUAGGUAAUGCGGCGCAUGACGUGGCAGUCAUGCGCAUGCGCGCGCGGAUACACGAGGCGCGCGGUUGGGAGCAUGGUGCAUGGGUCCUACUGUGCCGUGUGCGGCGCACCAGAGUGAGCCAAUACGGCGCGACUGUGUGGCGCGCACGUAUAGACUCACAGGUGACGUGGCGCACGCCGCACCGCUGCAUGGACGGACUUGAGCUGCACCGCCGCACGCCGCAUGGACGGACUUGAGCCGCACGCCGCACGGACGGACUUGAGCUGCACCGCCGCACGGCAGUGAGCCAAGAGGCCGCACGCCGCACGGCAGUGAGCCAAGAGGCUGCACGCCGCACGGCAGUGAGCCAAGAGGCCGCACGCCGCAUGGCGCACCGCGCAUGGGCGCGCGCGCGCGCAGAAGCUUCCAGCAUUGAAUGACAGGGCAGUUUCAGUCCAGCUUCGUAACUGACGAG